UACGUAGGGGGCAAGCGUUGUCCGGAUUUAUUGGGCGUAAAGCGCGUGUAGGUGGCCAAGUAGGUCCGCUGUGAAAACUUGAGGCUCAACCUCAAGCUGUCGGUGGAAACCCCUUGGCUAGAGUCCGGAAGAGGAGAGUGGAAUUCCUGGUGUAGCGGUGAAAUGCGCAGAUAUCAGGAAGAACACCAAUGGCGAAGGCAGCUCUCUGGGACGGUACUGACACUGAGACGCGAAAGCGUGGGGAGUGAACAGG
rnacentral:rRNA from 1 species